AUGGGUGAAAGAGCAGGACUUUGGUUCAGGCAUCACGGUCAAGCAGGCCUGACCUACAGCAGCUCUGCUGUGAAAACCAUGAAAACCAUGCAAGGCCGCAUCUUCUCCGGCACCAAGAAGUCCAGGACACAUCUUAUCUGGAGAUAGCAGCACCAGCGCAAGCUGGGGCUAGACAAAACUAAAACUGACACAGUUGCGAAAACACCAAGUGGGGUUUGACUACAAGUCCAUGGCUUUACCCUAUAAAUACUUUUCGCCUCCCUGUGCCCACUGAGAUCUCCUGUACAGCAGCGAGCUGCACAGCAGGGAUCUCUCCAGGAGCAGACGUCUGCCAAAGUUGCUCCUAGAGACUGAGAGACUCUUCACUCAGCAUCUGAUACCUACGGCUGAGAGUCCUUUCACACACCAUCUGAUACCUUGAUACUACAGCAAGAUGUCAAGCCCAGAUGACCUGGCUCUCCUGGCAGAUGAUGACCUGUUUGAAUUACUCCUGAAGGAAGGUUGUUUUGUGCCUGAUAUCUCAGUGGAGGACAAUGUUCUGAUGGAAGACUGGGGGCUGCCGGAGCCUGAGCCUCUGGACAAGGAUAUGGACGAUUUCAUCACGUCCAUUCUGAACCCCUUUCAAAACAGGGCAGGCAGGCGGCAGGAUUGUCUACCUGCUGAUGGGGAUGCCGGCAUUCCAGAGGAUCAACUUCAGCUCCUGAAUU